GCACGUUCACUCAUACAUGCUGCUUCUACUCCGGAAGUACGCAUCCACAUAUAUCCAUUCAUUUCCAUCUCCAGAACCACCCAAAAAAUAUUCUACUCCUAAUCCGGGAGAGAAUAGCCAAAAAUAUUUCUGUUUUUCCCUGUGAAAUAAAUGCUCAAGUUAUCUUGUUACUACCACUUGCUAUAUUAUCUCAUGAGAUGAGUGCUCUAAUAAAAAAAGAGAAAGAAUACGAGGAAAUAAAAAGGGGCAAGUGCCCGGAACCUCGAAAGAAAGAAAAAGUGAGACAAGAGGUAAAAAUGGACAAGUGUCCGACAGUAGAAUUAGGGGUACAAGAUACCCACGUGAGAGAAAAAGAAAAUAUAGAGCAUCUCAUUUUCCUCAAAAAGUUUCAAAAGAGCAAGAAAGGUAUGUACCCCCUCAAAAGAGCAAAAGUAGAAUUAGACUUUCACCAUUGUUAUUACCAUCGUCACCAUCAUACACCAUUCAUUCGCCACACAUGCACAUCUUGAUUUGACUUAUUGACUUGUUCUUCUGGAUCCAUGGUUUGACUAUGCAAUAAAUGUCUUGUAAGUAUGAAUUAGCUGUCUCCCACCUAUGAGCUCCAGAUAUCAAAACUUUAUUAGAGUAGGGUGAGAGAGAAGGCAAUGCCACUAUGUGCCAUACCAAAAAUACAACAUACUUUGAGAGAAGGCAUAUACCAUUACUGCCUUGGUAAGGAUCUAGAAAUACCACAAAUGAGAGACUAGAGAGAGUCAUACAAGGAAUCUCUGAGUUUUAUUUGAAAAUCUGCAAAAAACUCCAGAGCUUUAGUUAAUCGAAGAACAAGAGACAUGGUGCUUGAUUAGACCGUUCUAUCUUUUAACUGCUCAAGACACAAGUGACGGUUGCAAGCCCCAUGGUGGAAGGUAAUAUGAGUAAGUUUAAAUCUUAACAGUUUACCCUAACCUAGAGAUGAGAUCUUGUUUGAACGCAUGUGUAUCUUUAAGGCAUGAAACCACUGCAAAAAUUCUUGAGUUCAUCUUUGCUCAGGGACGAGCAAAGGUUAAGCUUGGGGGAGCUUGUUGACAGUCCUUAAUGCUCACAUUUAACCAUCAACUAAUCAUGGAAAAGGAUCCAAAUGCAACCAACACCC
rnacentral:lncRNA from 1 species